GAUGAACGCUGGCGGCGUGCCUAAUACAUGCAAGUCGAGCGAAUGGAUUAAGAGCUUGCUCUUAUGAAGUUAGCGGCGGACGGGUGAGUAACACGUGGGUAACCUGCCCAUAAGACUGGGAUAACUCCGGGAAACCGGGGCUAAUACCGGAUAACAUUUUGAACAGCAUGGUUCGAAAUUGAAAGGCGGCUUCGGCUGUCACUUAUGGAUGGACCCGCGUCGCAUUAGCCAGUUGGUGAGGUAACGGCUCACCAAGGCAACGAUGCGUAGCCGACCUGAGAGGGUGAUCGGCGACACUGGGACUGAGACACGGCCCAGACUCCUACGGGAGGCAGCAGUAGGGAAUCUUCCGCAAUGGACGAAAGUCUGACGGAGCAACGCCGCGUGAGGGAUGAAGGCUUUCGGGUCGUAAAACUCUGUUGUUAGGGAAGAACAAGUGCUAGUUGAAUAAGCUGGCACCUUGACGGUACCUAACCAGAAAGCCACGGCUAACUACGUGCCAGCCGCCGCAGUAA
rnacentral:rRNA from 1 species